AGAGUUUGAUCAUGGCUCAGGACGAACGCUGGCGGCGUGCUUAACACAUGCAAGUCGAACGGAAAGGCCCUUCGGGGUACUCGAGUGGCGAACGGGUGAGUAACACGUGGGUGAUCUGCCCUGCACUUUGGGAUAAGCCUGGGAAACUGGGUCUAAUACCGAAUAGGACCACGCGCUUCAUGGUGUGUGGUGGAAAGCUUUUGCGGUGUGGGAUGGGCCCGCGGCCUAUCAGCUUGUUGGUGGGGUAAUGGCCUACCAAGGCGACGACGGGUAGCCGGCCUGAGAGGGUGACCGGCCACACUGGGACUGAGAUACGGCCCAGACUCCUACGGGAGGCAGCAGUGGGGAAUAUUGCACAAUGGGCGCAAGCCUGAUGCAGCGACGCCGCGUGAGGGAUGACGGCCUUCGGGUUGUAAACCUCUUUCAAUAGGGACGAAGCGCAAGUGACGGUACCUAUAGAAGAAGCACCGGCCAACUACGUGCCAGCAGCCGCGGUAAUACGUAGGGUGCGAGCGUUGUCCGGAAUUACCGGGCGUAAAGAGCUCGUAGGUGGUUUGUCGCGUUGUUCGUGAAAACUCACAGCUUAACUGUGGGCGUGCGGGCGAUACGGGCAGACUAGAGUACUGCAGGGGAGACUGGAAUUCCUGGUGUAGCGGUGGAAUGCGCAGAUAUCAGGAGGAACACCGGUGGCGAAGGCGGGUCUCUGGGCAGUAACUGACGCUGAGGAGCGAAAGCGUGGGGAGCGAACAGGAUUAGAUACCCUGGUAGUCCAA
rnacentral:rRNA from 1 species